AACUCCAGAUUCUUGGGUCUUUGGAGUCUGGGACUGACAUCAGCGGCCCCCCAGAUUCUCAGGCCUUUCAGCCUUGGACUCAGAAUUACACCAUCUGCUGAGCCACACUACUGGCUUCCCUGGCUUUCCAGUGUGCAGACAGCAUAUCGUGGGACUUCUCAGUCUUCAUAAUCAUCUGUAUAUUCUUUGAGAUACUUGAGAUCUUUCUGGUUCAUGCCCUCAUCUGGAAAAUGGAAAUAAUAACAUCUCUGCAUGGAGAUGACAAAGUGUGGGUACAAUGCCUACCACACUGUAGCUACUCAAGAAAUGGAAGUCACAAUCAUUCUCAUGCCACCAGCCUACUGAGCAGAUCAAUGUUCUGGUGAUGUUCUGCAUCCAGACCAUCUUUCAAGAACUGAAUGGUUACUACCCUGGGUCUUCUACCGAAAGAAAGAACAUGGGUGUGGGCAUUCAAGUAUAGCCUCUAAAAAAAGAACACAUAAGUGGUUGCUGGGUGCUGUUAUAUAAUCACACACAUACAAGGCUUAAAUCAUGAAUAUUUCCUUUUUGAAGGGGAAAAAAAGCAAAAAUCCAAUUGUGUAGAGUUUUAGGACAAGAAUAUUAUAUGAAGAAAAUAUAGCUCCAAGAGAUAGUGGCUGAAAGGGCAGAAUUAGAGAAGCAGAAGAAGCAAGAAGUUACCGCAAAGGCUUCCAAAAAUAAAAUAGGAUGAUACGCCCAAGAAAACAAAGGCUACUUUUGCUAAGUCAGGGGUGAGAGAAAAUAAUGAAAGAUGCAAAGAAGAAUGACUAUGGAGCUACUAUUUUGUCUCAGCCUUUAGCACAAAGAACGAAGGAAGCAGGAGCUCAGUAAGAUAAAUAUUAAUGAGUCUCUGGGAAUAUCAAGAAACAGAAUUAAUAAGAGGCAGGUAAAAGAAUACUUAUACAAUUUAAAUAUUUAUAAAUCAGUACAGCUGGGUGAGAUUCAUUUGAACAAAUUCAAAGAACCAGCUAAGGCAGGACAUACCUGCAAUACUAGUGUUUGUCAUAGAGAGUUAUGUACCAGGGAAAUUUAAGCAGGCUGAUUUAGUGUUGGAGCUAAAGCAGCCAAAAGCAGAUACAGGAAAAGGUGGGCUAGUUAGCGCAUCCAAACUACCAGUCAAAACUCUAAAUGAAAUCAUAAAUCAGUCCAUGAGCAUCUUCAGAAAAAUAACAUAGUAAGUCAUAGCCAAAGAGGUUCAUAAAAAACAGAGCCUGUCAAAGCAACUUAAUCCAUUUUUUGGAAAUGCUAAGAAAUUUGGAUUAUAGACAUAGUUUACAGAGGCCCUGCAGAUGCCACCAGACAACUCAAUUUGAACCCAUCUUGGUGAUGGAAUGGCUGUUACUCUCACUGUUUCCAACAGAGAAGGGCAAUUUCACCUGCACAUUUAAUACACAGGGAUAGGGUUCUCUGUUCAUUCCCCAUCAUAGCCCAGGACAGAGUUAAUUUAGUUCUUAGCUAAAUAGAGUCAGUGCCCAGAAGUAUCCAAAUGAGAAUGAAAUAUAUUGAUAAUUCUGUUAUCCAAAUGAGAGUGAAAGAUAAUGAUAAUUCUGGAGCAAACUGGACUAACAUCUUUCAGAAAAAACAAUAUAUAUAUGUGUAUGUGUAUGUCUGCAAUUAUCAGGAUAAUUCAAGGAAAACAAAUACUAUUGCUCGAAUUGAUCAUAUAAUUAUGGAAAAUAUAAGAAGAUGUGAAAACAAAGGCCCUCUUAUAAAAUACAAAGACCUGACCGGGUCACCAGGCUCUGCUGAAACUGUUCAAUGACUUCCCAGGGUUCUUAGGCCAGAACCCUCAGCCUCCUCUCAAGGCCUGCCUAGUCUGUCUGUGCUCUUCUCUGCAGCAUCACUGGCACCACACCCCUCCUUGCCCUGGGCAAGCCAGCUCCUCUGCCCUUCUUUCAGCUCUUGCAAGACUUCCUCUUGUUUUUGCCACUGAGCCUUUGCACAUGCUGCCCUUGCUUUUACUUACCCUAGCUACUUAUUCUAUAGUUUUCUACUCAAAUCCCACUUUGGGAGGUAAACCUUCUUUUACCUCCCAGAACAUAAUAUUUUCAUAGUAUUUGGCUCUAAUAAAACCAAUUUUCUUCCCAGAAGCACUUAUUUUAGAAUGUAAUUUUAUACUCAUUUAAAAAAAAGUUAGUGUAGUCCUCCUCCACUAGAUUACAAGCUCCACCAGAAAAGGGACUGAGUAUGAGUACUUCACAAUUGUAUCUCCAGGAUGUAGCACAGUCCCUAGGUACAGUAAAUAUUUGUAAUCAGAUAAAAAAAAAACUAGGAGUAUAUAUAUAUAUAUACACACAUACACAGUUGGGCUCCCUUCAUAAAAGGUUAGAUGGAAAGGACAUCUUUCUAUCCAGAAUAAUAUUUUCUUCAGUUUUCCUUUCAACUACAAUCAUAGGAAAAAAAAAUUUAAUGAGGGUCCUGUUGACAGAGGUGUAAAAACAUGAGGCAGCUAAAACUUGAAUUGUUGAAUUCUACAUUUGCACAUUACAUUUACCUGUGAUGUGUUCCAAAAUUUCAUUUCAUGGUGAUAAUGAAUCUGUGGGAAAUUAGCAUUCUAUCACUCUUCAUAUGGGAGUGUUAGUGAAGGUUUUCCAAGCCGUGUAUCCUGCAUAAAAUGAAACAUUUUUCAGGUAACCAAGUUUGUAGCACACUCUUUCUAUCUCAACAGUGUUCAUCUUUACACCUCAGAAGGACCUAAGCCUAGAAUUAGAGAAAGCCAUGAAGUUAGAGAAUAUUAUCUUAUUCUAAGGUCAAUCACUGACAGGGAAUUUUCUCCCAUGAUGCUUGGAUGUUUAUAUUUUUAAUAGGAAUUUGUAAGUUAAUAAGUAACCAGCCCCCCUGCAAGCAAGGUUUUGACAUAUCCAAGGUCACACCAAAAUUUGUGACCCACCUAGGACCAAAACUCAGACUUCUAGUUUCAGUCCACUGAUCUUUUGUUAGUUCAUUCAUUCAACAAAUAAAACCUGAAUGGCCCCCA